UUAUAUAAUUGUAUAGUUCAAAAUGAAAAAGAGAGAACAUAUGGCACAUAUUGUUAAGUUUGUUAUUGUAACAAUUAUUUUUCUAAUCAUAUUCGUCUUUGGAACAGAUGGUAUCGUUCUAACAGAUCUUAUCAGAUGUGAGUCUAAUAAAGAAUGUCGUCAACAAAUGCCUGAUUGCAAGCGUCCUAAAAUGCCAAGG